rnacentral:lncRNA from 1 species
AAAAGACUUUAUUAAUAGUCUUUCAAAAAAUAUAUCAACAAAAUUAGCGGAACUAGGCUGGAACACUAUUGAUAGCACCAAGCUAGUGGUGCUAUUAGUUUUUUAAUCCUUGGAUUGAAAAAUGUGCGGUUAACAUGAUGUGGGCCUACUAGGGUUGAGUCGGUGGUUGAUUGAAUAGUAUAAUCUAACGGAUAAAAAUGAUCAAAAUAGUUAAUGUAACGACAGAAAACUUGAUAGCACCAAGUGCUUGAUGCUAUCGAUGGCAUAGCAGCCGGAUUCAAAUUAGAAUAUAGUUAAUCUGUCACGAUCAAAAUGGUGAGAAGGACGUAAAUUUACAGCAUGUUUAGAUUACAAUCUUUC